GACGAACCGCCCGAACGUUGUUCGGAAUCACUGGGCUUAAAGGGAGCGUAGGCGGGCUGCCAAGUCCGGGGUGAAAUCCUCCAGCUUAACUGGAGAACUGCCUCGGAUACUGGAAGUCUCGAGGAGGGUAGGGGCAAGUGGAACCGUGGGUGGAGCGGUGAAAUGCGUUGAUAUCCAUGGGAACUCCGGUGGCGAAGGCGAACUUGGCUGGACCCCUUUCUGACGCUGAGGCUCGAAAGCGUGGGUAGCAAACAGG
rnacentral:rRNA from 1 species